UGGGGAAUAUUGCACAAUGGGCGCAAGCCUGAUGCAGCCAUGCCGCGUGUAUGAAGAAGGCCUUCGGGUUGUAAAGUACUUUCAGCGAGGAGGAAGGCGGUAAGGUUAAUAACCUUAUCGAUUGACGUUACUCGCAGAAGAAGCACCGGCUAACUCCGUGCCAGCAGCCGCGGUAAUACGGAGGGUGCAAGCGUUAAUCGGAAUUACUGGGCGUAAAGCGCACGCAGGCGGUCUGUCAAGUCGGAUGUGAAAUCCCCGGGCUCAACCUGGGAACUGCAUUCGAAACUGGCAGGCUAGAGUCUUGUAGAGGGGGGUAGAAUUCCAGGUGUAGCGGUGAAAUGCGUAGAGAUCUGGAGGAAUACCGGUGGCGAAGGCGGCCCCCUGGACAAAGACUGACGCUCAGGUGCGAAAGCUAGGGGAGCGAAUG
rnacentral:rRNA from 1 species